rnacentral:misc_RNA from 1 species
UCACCACCUAACUCGACAUUAUCGAUCGAACCAUGCGUACACCACCGUUAAAUAUCGUUUAGGAAGAUAAAGACUACGUUCAGUCUCCAAGAAAUAGUUGAGUUAUCGAAUUAACUAAAAGCUAAAACUAUCGUUAACACGGCAAUGCGCAAAUCGAUUAAAUGUAUCUGUACAGAAAAAAAAGAAAGGUAAAAAUAUUUGUUUUUAUCGAGACGUAAUACAUGCUUCGAAAAAAAUGUGUACAUUUUGAAUGCAAUUUACUACUACCCUUUCCUUCCUAUUUAAUUAAAGACUAAUUAAUGUACCCUCUGUCUCUCUCUCACACACUAUCUUACACUUUUCUUUCACUCUCUCCUUACCGAACACGUUUCUUCUCUUCUUCUCAUUCUCUCUUUCUUUCUCUCUCUCUCUCUCCAUCCAUUACCUUUCCCUUUCGUUUUCUUUAUUCACAGCUAAUUAAGACUAAUAAGGUCUUUACUUAUCUCAUCUGUUCUUUUUUCGUUCCGAAUCACAAACCUUCGACCUUAAAACCUUUAAACCUUUUAAAUUUCCUUUUUUUUUCACCAUUUUCCCUCGAGAGUAGAAUCAAAACAAAGAAAAGAAAAAUAAAACAGAUCGAAGAAAAUUGUAGUGUGUACAGAAGUGUAUAUAUGUGGUAUACAUAGACGUUAAUAUGUCGACAUUAUGCGUGCACGAAUGGCCGUGCACGCAAAAUGUACAAACUUUUUUAAAAAAGAAAUACGUACGCCCCUAUAUCGAUAUAUUUUGUCCUGCUUUUUUUAAAGAUAUACAUUUACACGAGCAGACAUACGAGUGCGUGUACAUACAUAUACGUUGCAAUGAAUAAUAUAUAUAUAUAUCAUAUAUAUGUAUAUAUACAUAUAUAUUUGGAAUAUAUAUACAUAUAUAUAAAAAAUUGUAUAUAUACGUGUAUAUAUACAGAAUAGUAUGUAAACAUGUGUUCUCUCUCAACAUCUCCGCUCUCUGUAUUGUGUGUAAUAAUAGUAAUUAAUAAUAAUAAUCAAUCAUCGUUCAUUAAAUCGUUAUCAGUAAACGCGCAUAAUAUUAUAAUUUUCACCACGACAAAAAAUCUCUCGCUCUCUCUCUCUCUCUCUCUCUCUCUCUCGCUCGCUCUCUCUCUCUCUCUCUCUCUCUCUCUCAAUCUGUAAUAGUUUUCGCUCUUAAUUUCUUUUUCUCGUGCUUACUCCACCUACGUAAUUAUUCCUUUCCUUCCUCUCUCUCUUUAUCCUAUCCUGUUUUUCUUUUUUUUUUUUUUUUACUUCUUUCGUCUUCUCUCUUUCUUGAUUCUACAACUCUAAUUUCUUAGAUUCUUCCUUAAGAGAAUUCUUAAAGGUAGAGACAAUGCGCUUUGGCCUGGUGUGUAUAUAUAUAUAUAUAUAUAUAUAUAUAUAUGUAUAUAUAUUUUUUUUUUUACUGCUACUGUGCUGAUAAUGGAGUGUUCGACUUCGUCUGGAUUAUGAAUACACAUAUCCCCAAAAAAAGAAAUUCACAUGCAAUUUUUUCUAGCUAAGGAAAUUUUUGUUUGAAAUUCUUGACAGCGUGUUAUUCGCUUAACACGAUUAAAAAGUCGGACACUCCAUUCGGUACAGAGAGUUUUCUAGCCUAGGUCACUGGGAAUGAGAUGGACAGAAAGCGUGCGAGCG